rnacentral:piRNA from 1 species
AAGGAGACGGUGGACGGAAUCUGACCAGG